GCGUAAGAACCUACCCUUAGGAGGGGACAACAAUUGGAAACGAUUGCUAAUACCCACUAAGCUGAGGAGUAAAACGGUAACAACCGCCUAGGGAUGGGCUUGCGUCUGAUUAGCUAGUUGGUGAGGUAAAUGCUUACCAAGGCAACGAUCAGUAGUUGGUCUGAGAGGAUGACCAGCCACACUGGGACUGAGACACGGCCCAGACUCCUACGGGAGGCAGCAGUGAGGAAUUUUCCGCAAUGGGCGAAAGCCUGACGGAGCAAUGCCGCGUGGAGGAUUCAGGCCUGUGGGUUGUAAACU
rnacentral:rRNA from 1 species